AAAAACAUGUCUUUUUGAUUAUAAUUUAAAGUCAGGCCUGCCCAAUGAUUAUUUUAAAUGGCUGCAGUAUUUUGACUGUACAAAGGUAGCAUAAUCAUUAGUUUCUUAAUUAGAAGCUGGAAUGAAUGGUUCGAUGAAAAAUUAACUGUCUCGAUUUAAUUUUAUUAGAAUUUUAUUUUUAAGUGAAAAAGCUUAAAUUUUAUAUAAAGACGAGAAGACCCUAUAGAGUUUUAUAUUUUUAUAAUUUUUAAUUUUAUGUUUUUAUAUUUAAUUAUUAAUAAAAGUAUUUUGUUGGGGUGACAGAAAAACUUGAAUAACUUUUUUUUAUUUUUACACUGAUUGGUGAAUUUAUGAUCCUUUAUUAGAUUAAAAGAUUAAAUUACCUUAGGGAUAACAGCGUAAUUUUUUUUGAAAGUUCUUAUUGAUAAAAAAGUUUGCGACCUCGAUGUUGGAUUAAAAUUUAUUUUUGGUGUAGAAGCUAAAAAAUUAGGUCUGUUCGACCUUUAA
rnacentral:rRNA from 1 species